AUUGAACGCUGGCGGCAGGCCUAACACAUGCAAGUCGAACGGUGAAAGGCAGCUUGCUGCUUGUUUUAGUGGCGGACGGGUGAGUAACACGUAAGCAUCCUGCCCCUGAUGCUGGAAUAAGCUCUGUAAUGGGCGCCUAAUCCUCUAUCUCUCCCCGCCCCAAAGGGGGUGCGGGUGGAAAGAUAUCCUGUUUGGGGAUGGUCUGACAGGGUAUCAGCUUGUUGGGGGGGUAAUGGCCCACCACGGCGACGACGAGUAGCUGGUGUGAGAGGAUGAUCAGCCACACUGGAACUGAGACACGGUCCAGACUACUACGGGAGGCAGCAGUGGGGAAUAUGGGACAAUGGGCGCAAGCAUGAUCCAGCCAUGCCGCGUGUGUGAAGAAGGCGUUCGGUUUGUAAAGAACGUUUAGGGGGGAGGAAGGGCGUUAAGUUAAUACCUAGCGACAUUGACGGUACCUGCAGAAAAAGCACCGGCUAACUACGUG
rnacentral:rRNA from 1 species